rnacentral:rRNA from 1 species
AGUUUAAUGAGUUGUAUAUUAAAUAUUUUCUGCUCAAUGAUUAUUAAUUAAUUAAAUUGCCGCAGUACUUUGACUGUGCUAAGGUAGCAUAAUAAUUUGGCCUAUAAUUGAGGUCUAGAAUGAAAGGAAGCACUUGUAAGUAACUGUCUCAUUCAAAGCUGAUUUGAAAUUUUUUAUUAGGUGAAAAUACCUAAAUAAGUAUAUUAGACGAGAAGACCCUUAGAGUUUUUAUUAUUAUUUCCAUAAUAUUUUUGUUGGGGCAACAAAGGAACAUAAGAUCUUCCUAAAUACUUGUAAUAACAUGCCGAGUUUAUAUUAUGAUUGAUUAAACUACCUAAGGGAUAACAGCAUUAUCUUUAAUAAGGAUUGUGACCUCGAUGUUGGAUUAGGUAAACUUGAUAUAAGCAAUAUCAUUUAAAGGUUCUGUUCGAACUUAUGCACCU